UGAGGAAUAUUGCGCAAUGGGGGCAACCCUGACGCAGCGACGCCGCGUGAGUGAGGAAGGCCUUCGGGUCGUAAAGCUCUGUCAAAGGGAAAGAAGUGCAUGGUGGCUAAUACCUGCCAUGUUUGACGGUACCCUUAAAGGAAGCACCGGCUAACUCCGUGCCAGCAGCCGCGGUAAUACGGAGGGUGCAAGCGUUGUUCGGAAUCACUGGGCGUAAAGGGCGCGUAGGCGGUUUGAUAAGUCAGAUGUGAAAGCCCACGGCUUAACUGUGGAAGUGCAUUUGAAACUGUCAGACUUGAGUAUCAGAGGGGAAAGUGGAAUUCCCGGUGUAGAGGUGAAAUUCGUAGAUAUCGGGAGGAAUACCGGUGGCGAAGGCGACUUUCUGGCCCAGUACUGACGCUGAAUUGCGAAAGCUAGGGGAGCAAACA
rnacentral:rRNA from 1 species